UUUUAACUAUUUUGAACGAGCCGCUUCUUUGUCGUGCGUCACUGCAUUGACCACUGCCCACUGCAAAAAGAAGCUUCUGACACCAGCUAUGGCCACCUGCACAAAAACUACAAAAAGAGCUGGAGAGAUGGCUCAGAGGUUAAGAGCACUGGCUGCUCUUCCAAAGGUCCUGAGUUCAAUUCCCAGCAACCACAUGGCAGCUGACAACCAUCUGUAAUGUGAUCUGGUGCCCUCUUUUGACCUGCAGACAUAACACCAGCAAGACACUGUAUGCAUAAUAAAUAAAUAAAUCUUAAAAAAAAAAAAACUACAAAAGAU